AGGAAGUGGGUGGGGAGCAGCCUCAAAUGGCAAAAACUGGGUUCCAUUGACAGCGUGUCUCAAAAACAAAAAAUAACCCUCUGCUGACGAGUGAUCUGAGCAAGCAUGAGAUGCAAGGGAGGAAUCAACGGGGAGUCCACAGAGGCUGCUUUCCUGGCUGGUGGUUCAAGGGUGGUUCAGGACCCAGAAGCAUCAGGAUAUGGCAGGAGAGGCUGUUUCAUAGUAUCCCUGCUGAAUCUCAGGGCUGAGCCCAAGGGAUACAGAGCACCAGGGAGAUGACGCGGCUUCAGGGCCAGAGCUGGGAAGGGAACUCAGAAGCCCCAACUGCAAACCCUGCCCUGAUCAUAAAUGCUCCUUGACAGAGUGAUUAUCUAACCUGCCUUUUAUAGUGCAUUUACUUGGUGCCUGCUGCCCCAUGUCUUCAACAAGCAGAACGCUCUUUGCUCCCCAGCUCAGCAGAGAAUCGCGCUGUACCGACGUCUGACUUUUGGCAGAACUCCCGAGGGGAAAUAAAUAAACCUCAUCUGGCAUCUUG